ACCUAACCUAAAACCCCUUUUACACGCAAAAAAUUUCACUCUCUCGCUCUAGAUUUCUCUCUUCUUUCUCGAUCACCAUUGCGAAUCUUCAUUAUCAACUGUGGACUAAAAUUAAAGAAAGAAAAGUUGAAGAAAUUGUUGAUAAUCAAUUAGAUUCAACCAAAAUUUCGGGAAAAAAGGAAAAUCACAUGCUAUUAUUCAUAAGUGGUUUGGACAGAUUUGCACAAGAGCAGUCAAUUGCGCUUAACUGAAAAGUAUAACAAAGAAAACAAACCGGAGCAUGCAUCAACUAUCUUGGAGGAUGCAAAAUUUAGAGUGGAAGACAAAGGUUUGGGCUAUUCACACGGUACACUAUCAUGGUCACUAAUCUACCGUUGUUGCUCGAGUUGAUAUAGUUGUGGUGUGAAUUAUUGAUCUGUGAAUGUAUCGUGCGCUGAUUUCAGCAGCCCUGGAAGUGUAAUUAGGACCCAAAUGUAUUUGGCAGUUACUGCAGUUGUAUAAAGUUAUCUGCAUCUGGAAUAAUGAAAUGUUGUAGUAUGAGAUUUUUUAUAAAUUUAAGAUAUG